CGCCGUGCUGCCUCCGCUCGGCUCCCGCGCCCCUUCCCCGGGCCCAGGGCUCUCGGGAACGUGCCCGGCACCCCAAAGACGCUGAGGAUGCUUGUCCUGGAACCCUGCUCCCACAGGUAAGGAUGCCGGACUCGCCCUCGUGGACAAGCCCCGUGGAGGUGCUGUGGAAAGCGACCAGCUCAGCCCACAGAAAGCCCGCAGCCACUGCCAGUCACGUGAGCGGGACCACGGAGUCACCCCCCCCCCCGGACAAACAUUCCACCCUCCGCGGCCUGAGUCCCUGCCCUGCGGGGCCCACAGCGCUGGUUCUCUGCCUGUUCUCUGCCCUGGCGCUGACAG
rnacentral:lncRNA from 1 species